UAAAACUAAAACUAAAACUGGCCUACAGAAAAAGAAAAGCCCACGAUGGUACCCACCCCACCCAAUACAAUACAUAUUCAUUUUUCCUAUUCUAAAAAGUUAAUAAAUUAAAACCUAUUCCCAUCACCCUGUGCGUGACAUCUCUCCCCUCUCUUUCAAUUUCUUUUCUUUUUCUCCCCUCUGUACAGAACGCAUGGCCUCCUCUCUUUUCUAUUGUUCCACUUCCAUUCUUCAUAGAAAUCAAAUCUAAGAUUUCUUCAUAACCCACAAACUCUUGAAGAUAAAUUUACUCUUACAAACGUGGAAGCCACUGUGUGGAAGCAAUUGAAUUAAUUUUGAAAGUUAGGGUUUGUGCUCUAAGGAAGAGAAGAGUAGCACCCCUUCAGAUUUGCUCUUUGGAUGUUAUUGAGAUUCGACGGCGAGUGGAUCGUUCGAUGGUCGUAGGAUUGCUAAAAACAAUUGUGGUUAUUCUUCAUAGUUAUUUCCAGGCAACUAAGUAGCAGACUGUUGUUAGGUUCAGAUCAUUCAGCUCAUUUCGUUUAUAGGCCUCUUUUGGCAGGUGGUCAUAUUUGUAUCUUUGUUGCUCUUUGUUAUUCUGCAGCUAUAGGGGAGUCUUGGGUGAAUUCAGUUUGAGUUGUUAUGUAUUGUUUUAAUUUAGGAAUUAACACUUUAGUGCUGGAGUUGGAAUUCGUGUAUUUUUAGAAUUCUAGUUAUGAUAAAUCUCAAUUGAUAGAUUUUAUUAUUUUGGAGAUAUUGAUAUUACAGGAGAGAUUAUUUUUUUUUAUAAAUUAUAGUAAACAUGUAUAAUUUUGGAAAAUCAUUUCGGGAAGAGGGUUUUGUUAAAUAGGCUUGCCAGGCUAAGCUGUUAGUCUGUGCGCCGGUCACGGCUUAGGAUUUUGGGUCGUGACACUUGGAUGAAAAUCAGAGGAAGAUUGCCUGGAUCAACUGGGAGACCAUUUGUAAGCCCAAGUGGCUGCGAGGAUUAGGGGUUAAAAACUGGGGAGAAUUCAACAAAGCACUACUUAGAAAAUGGCGAUGGAGGUUAUUUUGUGAAGAACGUGGUCUUUGGGAUCGUAUAAUCACCUCCAAGUAUAAAGUGAAUGACGGUGUGCUUGUAUCGUCUCAGUACCAGAAUGCCUCACCAUGGUGGAAGGAUAUCGUGAACCUCUCUUUUGAAAACCAAAUGGUAAUUGGUUUAACAAUGUUAUAAGUAGAAGGAUUGGUGAUGGGGCUAUAGUCCGUUUUUGGCGGAAUACAUGGAUUGGAAAUGAUCCUUUGGCUACUAAAUUUGCAAGAUUAUUCCAGCUCUCUACUCAACAACAAAAUGUUCUAGCAAAUAUGGGCUCGUGGCAUGAUGGUGUUUGGAGAUGGGAGCGAAACUGGAGAAGGGAUUUAAGGGAGUAUGAAUGAGUAUGGGAGGCUGAAUUUUUGAGCAUCAUUGAUCAAGUUCAACUGAAGGAAAAUACAGUAGACAAGUGGAUAUGGAAGGAAAAUGUUUGUGAAGGUUUCUCAGUUAAAUCGGCCUACUCACGAUUUAGGGGACUCUCAAAUAUGCAGCAGCUGAAUGAGUUUGUUAAUAUUUGGGUGGCUUAUGUCCCUUCCAAUGUGAAGACCUUCAUCUGGAAACUUUAUUGUGGGCGUGUACAGACUAAGCAAAACCUGUCAAGAAGAGGAAUCCAAUUGAAUUCCCCAGAAUUACUAUGCCCCUUAUGUUCUGAAACUGAAGAAUCACUAGAACAUCUUUUUUUCUCUUGUAAGAUGGUCUCGACUAUUUGGUAAUCUUGUCUGAAUUGGUUGAGCUAUUGUUCAGCUUUGCCUCAUGACAGUAAGGUGCAUUUCCUACAGUUUGUUUCACGAUAAUUAGAACCCGAAGCAACGGGUGUGGUGGGAGAUUUGGGGUGCAGUCGUUUGGACGAUUUGGUGUACCCGGAACAGAUUGGUGUUUUCCAAUGAGGCUCCUGACUGGGACAAUUUGCUGGAUGUGAUCCAAUGGAAAGCCUGGAUCUGAAUCUCUUCAGAGGUGAAAGAAUUUCAGUGUGCAAUGGGAAUGGGUGAUGAACCCGUGUUCUUGUAUUAUACAAGUAUAGUAUCAAUUUGGAGAAGGUUAUUGAGUCGUGGCCUAUGGUUAUGUGUAGUUGUACCUUGGCCAAAUUGCCACCUUUGAUGGAAUUUGUGGACUGCAUUUUAUAAGGAACAGAGACCUGGCUGAUGUGGUAUAGUUAUGCAUUUGAUAUUUAUUUUUGUUGGUUCUCCUUGAAAACUACAUUGAGAUGUUUAGAAUAUGUGGACUCUUUUCCCUUCACUAUCUUUUUAUUUCAAUGAGAUUUUUCCUA